AAAUGAAUAGACGGGGACCCGCACAAGCGGUGGAGCGUGUGGUUUAAUUCGACGGUAAACGAAAAACCUUACCAAGGCUUGAACUGUAGCUGCUAACUCUAUGAAAGUAGAGCUCUUUCGAAGGUGCUACAGAGGUGCUGCAUGGCUGUCGCAAGCUCGUGUCGUGAGAUGUUGGGUUAAGUCCCGCAACGAGCGCAACCCUUAUCAGAUGUUACAUAUCUUCUGAGACCGCCCUGCCAAAACGGGGAGGAAGGUGGGGACGACGUCUAGUCAUCAUAGCCCUUAUGUCUUGGGCUACACACGCGCUACAAUGGGGGAAUCAAUGGGUAGCCAAACCGCGAGGUGGAGCUAAUCCUCAAAAACCCUCUCAGUUCGGAUUGUAGGCUGAAACUCGCCUGCAUGAAGUUGGAAUCGCUAGUAAUCGCAGAUCAUAAUGCUGCGGUGAAUACGUUCUCGGGUCUUGUACACACCGCCCGU
rnacentral:rRNA from 1 species